UACUACCGAAGCUACGGCAUCAGUAAUGAUGGGUAGGGGAGCUUCCCAUACGGGUUGAAGCAUGACCGUAAGGACAUGUGGACAGUAUGGGAGUGAGAAUGUUGGCAUGAGUAGCGAGAUGUGGGUGAGAAUCCCACAGGCCGUAAACCCAAGGUUUCCAGGGGAAGGUUCGUCCGCCCUGGGUUAGUCGGGACCUAAGCUGAGGCCGAAAGGCGUAGGGGAUGGACAACAGGUUGAUAUUCCUGUACUACCGAUAACCGUUUGAGAGAAGGGAUGACACAGUAGGAUAAGCUAAGCACACUGUUGGUUAUGUGUGCCCAAGCAGUGAGGCAGUCAAAGUAGGCAAAUCCGCUUUGAUAAUGCUGGGAUGUGAUGGGGAGCGAAAUUUAGUAGCGAAGUAGCUGAUUUCACACUGUCAAGAAAAGUCUCUAUCGAGGUUAAAGGUACCCGUACCGCAAACCGACACAGG
rnacentral:rRNA from 1 species